rnacentral:rRNA from 1 species
CUUCGGGUUGUAAACCUCUUUCAGCAGGGAAGAAGCCACAAGUGACGGUACCUGCAGAAGAAGCGCCGGCUAACUACGUGCCAGCAGCCGCGGUAAUACGUAGGGCGCAAGCGUUGUCCGGAAUUAUUGGGCGUAAAGAGCUCGUAGGCGGUUUGUCGCGUCUGCUGUGAAAGCCCGGGGCUUAACCCCGGGUGUGCAGUGGGUACGGGCAGACUAGAGUGCAGUAGGGGAGACUGGAAUUCCUGGUGUAGCGGUGGAAUGCGCAGAUAUCAGGAGGAACACCGAUGGCGAAGGCAGGUCUCUGGGCUGUUACUGACGCUGAGGAGCGAAAGCAUGGGGAGCGAACAGGAUUAGAUACCCUGGUAGUCCAUGCCGUAAACGUUGGGCACUAGGUGUGGGGGACAUUCCACGUUUUCCGCGCCGUAGCUAACGCAUUAAGUGCCCCGCCUGGGGAGUACGGCCGCAAGGCUAAA